GACGAACGCUGGCGGCGUGCUUAACACAUGCAAGUCGAACGGAAAGGCCCUGCUUUUGUGGGGUGCUCGAGUGGCGAACGGGUGAGUAACACGUGAGUAACCUGCCCUUGACUUUGGGAUAACUUCAGGAAACUGGGGCUAAUACCGGAUAGGAGCUCCUGCUGCAUGGUGGGGGUUGGAAAGUUUCGGCGGUUGGGGAUGGACUCGCGGCUUAUCAGCUUGUUGGUGGGGUAGUGGCUUACCAAGGCUUUGACGGGUAGCCGGCCUGAGAGGGUGACCGGCCACAUUGGGCUUGGACUACGACCCAGCCUACUACGGGAGGGAGCAGUGGGGAAUAUUACACAAUGGGCGGAAGCCUGAUGCAGCAAAGCAGCGUGCGGGAUGACGGCAUUCGGGUUGUAAACCGCUUUCGCCUGUGACGAAGCGUGAGUGACGGUAAUGGGUAAAGAAGCUCCGGCUAACUACGUG
rnacentral:rRNA from 1 species